rnacentral:lncRNA from 1 species
AUGGCUGGCACAGGACCCCCGGGGCACGGCAGGUGCCCGUUGCCCGCUCCGCCAGCGGCUGCAUUCCCCAAAAGCACACCAUCCCAUCGUGUCUGCUGCCUCCUGACCCCCGGCCCUUAUCUCAUCCCACAUCACCUUCCUGCGUUUCCUGGCCUCUCCCUGCCCCGGGCCAUCCCUGGGUCUCCGGAGCGAGCCGUGGCCACGCCCGAGCUGGCGCGGGUUACCAGCAGCCGCGGGGCUGGGACCGCUCGCCGCCGGGCCCGGGCUUCGCGCUCGUCCUGGCCGCUGGGGCCUCGGAGAGCGGCGGCAGGAGCGAGGCAUCACCCGAGCGCUGACAGGCGCCUCUCCGCCUUCCCCGCCCGGCGCAUUCGCCUUGCCACGUGCAGAACCCGGCAGGCGCGGACCGCCAGCGCCCUCGCGGUUGCCGUGGCUACGCACGAGCGGCCGCAGCUGACCCAGGCGGGGCCUCCCUCCGCCGCCUCCGCCUCGGGCUCCGUCCCCGCUCGGUUAGGGAACCCCAAGCCCCCGGCCCCUACAAGCUGUGCACACCUGCAGCAGACCCGUUUCUGCAAAGCUUCUGAAGAAAAGAAAACAACUUCAAAGCGCUUGGAAAAGUUGUUGAAUAGGAAAGCUGGCUGUCCUGGAAAUCCCGGCUACUGCUCUGUAACACAAGGCACCUCACCUGUCUCUGCUCAGGCACACAGGGCUCUUUACCAGAAUAUAUGCCUAUGGAGUGACAAGUCGAUUCUCCUUUCCUCCCAAGAGCACCCCCCUUGGCCAAGUACACACAAAAAGGACCUCUAUUAA